GUCUUUCCGCGUGUUUGGUAUUCAGGAAUAUUAAUAUUUUGUAGAAUUUCUUCUGCAAUGUCCAGCCGAAAUUUUCAAAAUUAAAUUCUUUUCGAAAUAAGUAAAAUGAUUUUUUGUAGUUAAUUCUGCAGGCGUACAUUGCACGUCAUUGCCAGUCUAGAGCAGAUAGCAAGUCAAAGUGCAUUGACCGUCUUUGCAGGGUAAGAGUUUAAAGCAUAUGUCAUGUAUCUAAAACCGUUCAUCUAGAACCUUUCUGCGAUCUUUCCGUAGAUGCAUUGAUGAAUUGAGGCGAGUUAUCGGGCGAUGAAAUUUUGUUGGUGCAAACAAAAAUUAAAGGCCGCCGAAAUUGUUUACCGUCCCUUUAUCGCACCAAAGGCCCUUUCUCUUCACAACAGAUUCAUUCGACCCUCUUCGCCGAAUUUUGGAAGACUUUAGAAUGCAAGUGUGAAGCAUCAUUUAAAGCGAGUUAUUAGUGAUCACGUCUUAACCUUUGAAGAUCCUGACGACUUAUUAGUUCAGACACCGGUGGUGCGAUUCACUAGCACAUUUUAUCGAUAUUCGUUUUGUUAUCUUUCCUUAACCACAAUUUUUACGAUUUUGCUAUUCAGUAACCCAUUUCAUUAUGAAAAUCGACAAGACAAAAUCAGAUGUUUGGUUAACCUGUCGAUUAUCGCAAACUAAACGACAAUAAUUUUGGUGUUGUUAAAUCAAACGAUAAAGAAGAAUUAGUGAUUUUAAUCAAAACUGAGAAAUUAUAUGAUCAAAAACUUAUUUAAAAAGCGCGAGUAUGUCCUUUGAGUAUUUGGCUUAUGAUUUAUCGCGUGGAGAAGAGGAAGUGAGCCCUCAAAUAGUUGAUCGAAGUUUGCUCCGGCAUAUGGACAGCAUUUGGAUGCAGGGGAGUUCCAGAGGUAAUUCCGUUUAACCCCAGACUUGACUGAGGACGUAGUUUCGCAGCUUGACAGCCAUCUUAGAGGUUCCAGAAUAACAGCGAUUUCGACUGAAAAACAGCACUGAAGAAGCGUAUGUCAACCACCACGACUACCAUUCGCUUAAUGUACAAAUGAUACUACUCUUAAAAUUUUAAACGUAAAUGCCAAAUUUCCGGGAGCACGGCACGAUUCAUAUAUUUGGAGUUCCUCUGCGGUGCGAAGGGUUAUACAACGGAGUUUUGAAAUUGGAAACCAUAACAUGUUUUUGAUUGGUGAUUCCGGGUACCUUUUGGAGCCUUGGCUGAUGACUCCUCUAACAAACCAACCGGAAGGUAGUCCGAGAUUCUUGUAUAAUGAGGCAUCGUGCAAAGCUCGUAACCCAGUUGAGAGACUUUUUGGCGUUCUUAAGGCAACGUGGCGGUGCUUGUCUCAACAAAGGACACUCUUGUAUGAUCCAGGAUUUACUGGACAGGUAGUGCUCAGUUUUACAUAAUAUAAUAAGCGUGCUCAGUUUUACAUAAUAUUCGUUUAAGAGAAGGAAUAUACCAGACCGAAAAUGAAUUCACAGAGCCCAGAACAAACAACAUUUUUGUAAACCAAGAUGGAUGGUGCAUCAGCAAAGCGCAUCCAAGACCGACUGAUUGCUAAUUUUUUUACUUAUAUACUAUUUUCACUUAUAAUCAUUCCGCACACAUAUCUAUGUGAACACUCGGGUAUAAAAAGUUAAAACAUUUUCAUAUUUAUUGUUAAAACCUUUUACUGAACAAAAUUACAUGCAGAUUCAAUAACAACAAUUCAGUCUUUAACUUCAGUUUACAUACAGUUUUAGGUUACAGGUACAUAAUUAUAUUUAUGUAUAUAGGUAUGCAUAAGCGUAUGCACACAUGCUGUACAAGUUCAAAGGUCAGUCUAUUUGUA